AAGUGAUUGUCAAUCUGAGAGAAAGAGAGUAGGCCAGAAGCCCCCCAGACACCCUUUUGUUUGUUUCUUUGUGUUAGUUAACCUCUUUUGUAGUUUGGUACAUAUUUAUUUUGUCACCAUCUGAACAAAUAAUAAUAUCUGGGACUGGCUGACCAAAAGAUCAAGACGGAGCUGGCCUUGGACCUAAGUUAAGGAGUCCUUGGAUGCAGCGGUAGCAGAAGAUGUGUCCACAGCCGGUUUGGUGUGGGUUGAGAACUACUCCUUUACAGGUGGGACAAACAUAGUGCUCUUCCAGCUUCUUCACAAACUUCAAACUGUGCUGCACUGCAGUCAAGUCCGAUUCCCACGGUCCCGCCACUCCCGAAUUCUGCCUGGAGAGUCCUCCGGAUCCACUCGGGUCACUCUCCUUUGUUGCCAUGGCAAUCUGUAGGCUGACAGGUGUGCGGUAGAUGUCGGACAGUUUGUAGACCUAUGCAAAUGUACAUCUACAAAGACUCUGUUGACAUUAACAUUUCCUAUUCCAGAAGUCCUGCAAUUGACUGACUACCUGCAUGAAUUUGACAUUCAGAAAAUCCCAUUCAAAGCUCUCCAUAAUGAGAUAUAGUCCAAACAUUUGUGCAUGAAAGUGUUUAGUAAAUAGGGGGAGGGGUUUAUGUAAUAUCCCCACAUUUUAAAACAAACCUAUCUUUUUUAAGGAGUUUAUUCACAUGGACUUAUAACCAGGGCCGUAGCUACAUAUGAGGACACCGAGGUCUGGACCUCCUGUAAUAUUUUUUAAUACAAAAUAAAUACAUUGUCAGUCACUUAAUUAGACCAUGGCUGUUAACCUUUUUUAGAUUGGUAAAUGAGUCGUUAGUCUAGCCAGCUAAACUUUCAUGGCUGAAUUACCGACCCGGAUCGCAAAGCAUGUACCCAGGGGUCCUGACAUCCAAGGGGCCCACAUUCGUUCUGGUAUUUACUCUUGUAUCAUAAUAACAUGGCAAAACAUGUAGAAUUGCAGGAAAUUGUCUGUAAACUACAACAAAUCUGUAAAAAUGUAUUUGUUGACCUUUUUUGUAAAUAAAAUACUUUUCUGCCAA